GGUGGCUCAGUGGUAGAGUGUUUGCCUUGCAUGCAUGAGGCCUGGGGUUCAAUUCCUAAGCACCA
rnacentral:tRNA from 1 species